ensembl:lncRNA
GCGAUCACCGAGUCCUCUAUUUCCGGCGGGAAGUAGGCCAUGAACGCGGAGGCCUCGUCUCGCGCCGCCGCCACGGCCUCUUCGGUGGGGCCUCGUCCCGGCGGGUCGAGGUCGUCGUCUUCUUCUUCUAAUUCUAAUUCUUCUUCUUCUUCUUCUUCUUCUUCUUCUUCAUAGUCUUUGACGUCUUCUUCUUCUUCUUCUUCUUCAUCAUCAUUGGCGAGGAUGUCUUCUUUUUCUUCUUCUUCUUCUUCUUCAUAGUCUUUGUCUUUGUCUUCUUCUUCUUCUUUUUCUUCUUCUUCUUCUUCAUCAUCAUUGGCGAGGAUGUCUUCUUUUUCUUCUUCUUCUUCUUCUUCAUAGUCUUUGUCUUUGUCUUCUUCUUCUUCUUCUCUUUUUUCUUCUUCUUCUUCUUCUUCUUUUUCUUCUUCUUCAUAGUCUUUGUCUUCUUCUUUUUCUUCUUCUUCAUCAUCAUCAUCAUCAUCAUCGGCGAGGACGUCUUCUUCUUCUUCUUCUUCUUCUUCUUCUUCCUCUUCUUCUUCUUCAUAGUCUUUGUCUUCUUCGUCAUCGUCGUAGUCGUAAUCGUCGGCUACAUCAGCGUCGCGAGUUUCACCGACAGCGCCGCGGCCGCGAUCGCGCCCAGGAUCAUGAACGCCACCUGCAGCGCGGCCGGCGUCGUCCUCUUGCCAAAUCUCCCGAGUCCCCCGCCCCGGUGGGUCGGCGCCUGCUUCUUCUUCCUCUCCCUCUCGGCGGUUCGACUCGCCUUGCGAGCCGCCGUCCUGGCAGAGUUGCGACGCCAUUUCGUAACCGCGAUCGUCUUCCUCGCAACUACCCACCCCAUCGUGUUCGUCCUCCUGAUCCUCCGAGUGGCUCUCCUCCUCCUCGUCGUCUGCGAGCGUUCGGGCCGUCGGGUCGUCGUUGUCGUCCCCCUCGGCCUCUUGCUCCUCUUCCUUGCUCUCGUCCUCCUCCAAGUUCUCCUGUAGCUGCUGCUGCUGCCGCUGCUGCCGCUGCUGCCGCUGCUGCCGCUGCUGCUGCUGCUCUUGGU